CUAUAAUGCAGUCGAGCGGACAGAAGGGAGCUUGCUCCCGGAUGUUAGCGGCGGACGGGUGAGUAACACGUGGGUAACCUGCCUGUAAGACUGGGAUAACUCCGGGAAACCGGAGCUAAUACCGGAUAGUUCCUUGAACCGCAUGGUUCAAGGAUGAAAGACGGUUUCGGCUGUCACUUACAGAUGGACCCGCGGCGCAUUAGCUAGUUGGUGAGGUAACGGCUCACCAAGGCGACGAUGCGUAGCCGACCUGAGAGGGUGAUCGGCCACACUGGGACUGAGACACGGCCCAGACUCCUACGGGAGGCAGCAGUAGGGAAUCUUCCGCAAUGGACGAAAGUCUGACGGAGCAACGCCGCGUGAGUGAUGAAGGUUUUCGGAUCGUAAAGCUCUGUUGUUAGGGAAGAACAAGUGCAAGAGUAACUGCUUGCACCUUGACGGUACCUAACCAGAAAGCCACGGCUAACUACGUGCCAGCAGCCGCGGUAAUACGUAGGUGGCAAGCGUUGUCCGGAAUUAUUGGGCGUAAAGGGCUCGCAGGCGGUUUCUUAAGUCUGAUGUGAAAGCCCCCGGCUCAACCGGGGAGGGUCAUUGGAAACUGGGAAACUUGAGUGCAGAAGAGGAGAGUGGAAUUCCACGUGUAGCGGUGAAAUGCGUAGAGAUGUGGAGGAACACCAGUGGCGAAGGCGACUCUCUGGUCUGUAACUGACGCUGAGGAGCGAAAGCGUGGGGAGCGAACAGGAUUAGAUA
rnacentral:rRNA from 1 species